CGGCACCGCCUCCCGGCCGGCUCCACGCGAAUCGAAACCGAAGGCACGGGUGCGGCUCCAGGGGCGCUGGGGGCACGGAUCUGCCCAGCCCGGAGGCCUUCUUGGCUGAACGUCAUGCGGGAAAUUAAUGCAAGAAUGAAAACAUACAUUUCUGCAUUAAUCCACUCAGAAAUCUGAACUACUGGCCUGAGGAGUUUUGAUGUAUACUUCGUUGGAACAGUAUUAACAGUAUGGAGCAGUAAAGUGAAGCACUGCAAGCAGAAAGAAACUACAAAUGCAGUCUUGGCAAGCAGGAUCUAUUCUCCACUUAAAUACAUUCAAAGAAGGGUUUUGGAUCAGGCCUGAGUAAAAGCAAAGAAAGAAAGAUUGCUGGAUUUAUCCUGUUUAUUACUAUGUUUUGCAACUACAAAUGCCCAAACACUUCCUCAGCAGCUUUAAACAGAACCAAUUUAUGUGAAACAACACAACUGGGUGAGGCAAAAGGGAUCACUGUAUGAAGGAGUCCCAAAAUGGUGUUAUUUUCAUAGUGACUCCAACCUCAAGUAUCAACCCUUUGGUUAAAGUUAGAAACCAGUUAGAUCCAGUGUGGCUGGAUUGCUGUAACCUCUUGCUACCCUAUAAAUCUUUCUCUCAGGUGUCCUCCACUUGCAGCUGUAAUAUUUCCUUAUUUGCCCUGACUCUGGUAUUCAGCUGACUUUGUAGUAAGCAAAAUCAGUUUUCAGAGACUUGAAACUGAAAUAUUGAUUGGUACGAGCAAAGUAUGAAUGAAGUGGCUGUGUGCAAGCAUCAGAAGAAACAGCAGAGCAAAGGCUAAAAGAAUAGCCUGUGUAAACAACCGAAACCACAGCUUCAGGCAGUAAAAUGGAGAACUGAAUUGUUUUUUCUCAAAGCGGAAGUUUUGCAUUCUGUAGCACAGACACCUUGUCAGCAGAAAAUCCUACCAUCUGACAUGCUGGACGUGGCAGGAAGAUACAGCACAUCACAAGUAACAUUUCUUUCCUGUUGAUUCAACUGGGAGCAGACCAUAGAACGGGGAAACAGAAAAUAACCAGAGAAGUUCUAUGAUGUGCAUGGAGGCAGCAGUAGCCAGACUGUGAAGCAAAAGGAUGCUACCACUGUCAGUGCUAAGCCCACAAGCUUUCACAGGCAGUUUUCCCCUGCCAGUGGAAAAUAACACAAGAGAUAACAAAAGGGUGUGGUGGUUGGUGCCCAUCUUCCCUUUCGUUACAUGCAACAUGGAUCCUGGUGAAACCAGCACCCCUCCAGGGCUGUGAGUAUGGGGAUCUGACAGUGUGAACAGAGUUGGAUAAAUUGAAUGGAUGUGAAUGAAAGCUGGGGAACCGAGUGAAAUGAAUGUAUACCUAAAUGCAGCUUCUGCAGCUUGACUGUGUGCAGAUGGAUUUUGGGAAAAAUGUGCCUCAUCUGAUGUAUCUGCAGUCGAAGCGCAGGACAUGAUGACACACUGGAUUCUGUGGAGCUGCCUGCUCUAUUUGAAGCAGAGGCUAUUCCUGCUCUAAAGUUGGUGCAGCUGGAAGUCCCAGCUUCCCUGGUGGCUCUGACCGCAUCAGCAGUUCUUCCCUGUGGGGAUAAAAGAAAAUAUGCAGAAACACCCUGGGAAUGAUGCUGUCAAACCGGCUUUCCCUGAUUUUUUCUGGCGUGUGACCUGUUCACUUUCUCUUUUCCUCCAUUCUACUUCUUGAAAUGCCUCUUUCAGGUCUCAGCUUUGGCUCACCUGUGUCUCACGUCCAACUCUUUUUCUUGAUUUGGAUUCCCCAGACUAUUUCAAAAAGCAUUUUGCAGAACAUCCUGGCACCACUGUCUUGUUCCCCGCCCCCCACCCCAUUUCUUACACAGCCCUCCACCAGUUCAGUAUUGUUUGCUUACCUAGCUAAUGGUAUACAAUUUGCCUGAGGCUUUCCAUAUAAUUUUGAGGCUUCUUUGUUCUGAGGAAACUGUUAAGCUAUGUGAUAAAAGUUCAGCUGGUGAGAGGUGGGGGCUGUCUUCUCACCUGACGUGCCUGGCCCACACACACCCAAUGACUGCAGUCAGUUCAGGCUGUCUCAUCCCCAGCACAGGCACUGGAUGAAGACACAAUCUUCACUGUAAAUUGUAACUGUUACUCUGCCCAGGUCACUUGCUGGAGUGGGUUGGGCUGUGGGGAUGGCUGGGCAGGGACAUGCCUCCCAGGCACCUGUCCAGAUGUUGCAUUUCAGACUAACAAAAGUUUAGUAGAAGUAGUUCGGCUAAGGCUUAGAAUUCUUAGUAGGCCAUAGGCUGUGUGUUGUUAGAAACAGUUGUUAGGUAAGGGCAGUACGGAAUACUGGAGAGGUAGGAACUUGUCUCAGAAUACAUUCCAAGAAUGGGCCGUGGUAGGACAUGUCAUUAUCUACAAGAUGGAUAGGUAGAUCUUGGGGGAAUACAUUGUAUUUACCUAACAGAGUGAAGAGAAUUUAUGAUCAUAAAGAAUGUUCAAUUUAAACAAGGAUUAAUUUGUAAAUAAAUGAUUGUUGGAGUGUAACGUAGACAAAUAUGUGUUGAAUUAAGCAACUGUUGAUAUAGACUCUAUAUAAACGCAAUGAUUUGUUAGCUCGGGGGGCUCUGACUUUGGACAUUAGUCCUCAGGCUCCCAGGGCUCUCAAUAAAGCACCGCAUAAAACGA